GAAAAUGAAAUUUCCUAUGCCCCGAGAUUUCAGGAUUUUACACGUCUCUGUGAAUCGUUUAGGAUUAAAUAGGGAGUUCAGAGACUAUUUUUAAAAUGUGCAUGGCCUUCUGAAGGAGCUGAAGUUUUGUUCAGCAGCUCUCUUCAAGGGGACUCAAGAUCGUCCCGAGUUUCUUUACUGAACACGGUGAGUUCCUCAGAGACAGCAUUGCAGUAUCACCAGAAGACUACCAUUCUUAAGAGCUGUAUUCCCUCUUAGAAAGGCUGCUUUGGCAGACUGAGGCACAUGACUGAGACUUUUUGCCCUGAUUGCAAAGAUGUUGUGCUGCCAGUGCUGCUGGAGAGCAAACAAAUAUUUGGCCCCAUGUUGACUGUUUUUCUAAGUGCAAGAACUUUUACAAAGAAAAAAAGAAGACCCUGAAGAAUGUAAUGCUACUUUAUGGAGGACAAAUCUUCCAUUUCUAGCCUGACAUGAAACUCUUCAAGGUGAACAAAGAGGGAGACAUGUCUAGAAACGCACAAAGAAGCCGAGCUAAUUAAGAGAACUCCCACUGCCUCCCUUCAUGAAAGCUGCUAUGCUUUUGAAACCCUGGAGAUGGUUUGACUGUGGAUUUGUGAGGUUAGGAGUACAGCUGGGAUGCUGAGACUGUGGGCUGGGUGGUAUGUAUAGAAUGUGUUUGAUCAGUUUCCCUGGUUGUAUUAGAAAGAGAUGGCAUAAAACAAAUGGGGUGGAAAUAGGCAGAAAGGAUGAGGAGCUCCCUCUGGGAUAGGUCUGAACUGAUUUAGAUUGUGGGAAUUCUCUGUGUGUGUGUGUGUACUCAAUGUAUUUUUCCUGGAGAUUUCAGUGAUAAUAUUUUUUCUUCUAAUCUUUAUCAAUGUUACAGAAAAUGUAUUUGAGCCUUCAGCAACAUGAGGUUCAAACCUUGCAGUUCAUUCCUUCAGAUGUUUGCAUGGCAUGCUACAGCCCUGCUUUCUGUAUGCUGACAUGCAAAUAGCUUGUCAGUCUCGUCUUGCACCAUUACUAUGAUUCCUUCCUUGGUUCCUGUCUCUUCCAGGUAUUCAACACUGUAAAAAUACUUGUCU
rnacentral:lncRNA from 1 species